rnacentral:rRNA from 1 species
GUACACGCUGUGACUAGCAUAUCAAUAAGCGGAGGAAAAGAAACUAACAAGGAUUCCCCUAGUAACGGCGAGUGAAGCGGGAAGAGCUCAAAUUUGAAAUCUUAAAGGGUUUCCCUUUACGAAUCGUAGUUUAAAGAAGUGUUUUCUGUUGAGGUUUUGGUAAAAGUUCUUUGGAAUAGGACAUCAUAGAGGGUGAGAAUCCCGUAUUUGACCUUUACUUUCAACUUUGUGAUACACUUUCAAAGAGUCGGAUUGUUUGGGAAUGCAGUCCAAAAUGGGUGGUAAAUUUCAUCUAAAGCUAAAUAUUGGCGAGAGACCGAUAGCGAACAAGUACCGUGAGGGAAAGAUGAAAAGAACUUUGAAAAGAGAGUUAAACAGUACGUGAAAUUGUCAAAAGGGAAGCGUUUGACACCAGUGUUGUUUUUCUGAAAAUCAAUUAAAGAACUGUUUAUGCUAAGCUGUUUAGACUUUAUCAGCUAUCUGUUUAGUUUUGAGCUUUUCUUUAAUGCACUUUUCAGUUAACAAGUCAACAUCAAUUUCUUUUGCUGUAAAAAAGCUUGAGGAAGGUGGCUUGAGAUUCGUCUUAAGUGUUUAUAGCCUCUUGCCUAUGCAGUCGGAGAGAUUGAGGUCUGCAGCGUAGAUCCUUCGGGGCUAAAUGCAUUUGUGCUAAGUUAUAGCAUUUUAUAGACAACUUGUUGACUAUGAUUUGUCUUGUAGCUUACUCGCUUAUGUUAUUUUACCUACGCUUAGGAUGUUGAAGAUGUAGCACAUCA